GCCUUCGUGGUGUAGUGGUCAGCACGCUGGGCGCGCGUUCCAGGGGUUCUUGGUUCGAGUCCCGGCGAAGGCG
rnacentral:tRNA from 1 species